AUUUAAACCACAGAACAACUCCUGGGGGGAGCCAUCGUUAGCCCAGUUUUACAGCUGAGGAAACCGAGACGCACAGAAGUUACAUACAUUGGAUCAGGCCACACAGCUGGAAGCCCAGAUGAGCAGGAAGACACGCCCUCGGGGCUGGACACAUGCACACCUGGGGAAGGAGGUGCACAGCCCACGUCCUCAGUGCCUCCUCAAAGUCAGCUUCACUGCAGCCCACCUCCCACCCGGGACCGGCCCCAAGGCCCUUCUCGAUUACCUCGAAAGGAUCUCCGGCACUGAAGUCAAAGGAGAGGAUGAGGUCAACCUCCCGUGUCGGGGGCAGCACGAGUGGGAAGGGAGUGUUGAUGGCCAAACCAGCAUCCACCAGGUGGAGGUGCUUCCGGCUACUCAUUGUCUUGUCCUGGAUGCCACCUGCGGUGCCCAGGAAGAAAGAGGAUCAGCUGCUUCCAGGGACUGAAAGACUUGUAAAUGGAAGGCAGGGAGGGGGAUGGGAAAAUGAUUAUUGUCAGU